UGUCGCAGCGCUCUUGUCAAGUUGGGGCUUCGCUGCCUGUUGGCGAUUUGGCUUCCUAUUUUCAGCUGCAAACAACUGAUGACGAGGUUGACGAUGGCGAUGAUGUGUCGAUGGCUUCGAUGUCGUCGUCCGACGAUGACGCGACGGACAACGAAGAAGCGCUACCCGUCGAGGAAGACAGCGAUGACGCUACGCUUACCUGUUUUGCAAGUUUGGGCGUUCGCCGUUGGGAAGAAUUUGAGUUAUGCGCAUAGCAACGCAUGAGUGUUCGGUUGCUAUGGCUGUGUACCCGUAUGUUGUGGUAGACAUCGGUAUGUAAAACAGUUUGAUGUCUAUUCGUUUCGUUUUUUGCUAUGCGCUGUUUAGUUUUUACGUUUCAGUAAGUGUUUUCCAAGUUUGGAUGUUAGGAGUUGGCAAGAAUUUGAGUUAUGCCCAUAGCAACGCACAUAGCAACGGAUCUGAAGGCAGGCAUAACUCAAAGACCAGGUAUCGCUGCCAAGAAUGCAACGUACCCCUCUGUGUGUCAUUUGCUGAGCGACAGUGCUUUAUAAAAUAUCACACUGAGGAUGACUGAGAAUUGCCACACUGUGACUGUGUAUAUUGUAUAUUUUUAUUUAUAGUGUUGUAUAUUUCUAUUAUAUAUUGUUGUAUAUUUCUAUAUAUAUUGUUGUAUAUUUCUAUUUAUAUAUUGUUGUAUAUUUCAUUUAUACAGUGUUGUAUUAGGUGAUCUAUGUUAUGUUUUACGAUUUGUAUAUAGUAACAGUUUUUUUAGUGUUGGAUUAGGUGUAUAUAUGUCUAUAUAAUUGAAAGCGUGAAGUCACUGCUGCAAAUAAUUUGUAUUGGUUUAGCAUUUUGCAUAUCAAUAUUUUUUCAAAUAGUCAAUCAACUUGAUUGGAUUGUUAUGCAUAAUAGAGGUAAAAUAAACAGUUAGACGAAAUAAAAUAUUGAAACAGUUAGAGGUAGUUACAAAAGUUGUGUCAUUCAAAAGAGCAAUUUAUGUACAUUUUAUACGUGUCAGAAUUGUUAUUUUUACUUCUAUAAUGUUGCUACAGUUGCAAAUAGUAUUUUGUUAUGCGCGCGCUAGACUAUAAAGGCGCGCGCUAGACUAUGAAGGCGCGCGCUAGAUAAUAAAGACGCGCGCUAGAUAAUUAUAGGCGUGACAUAGUAGUGCAAAGGUCAUAGAGGGAGGGAACUUAGCGGAACGUUCCGUUCGAGAAGGGCUAGACAGCUCUCUGUAUCUAAAUAAGUCCCUAUUCCCACACUACAUGUAUUGUUGGAAUGAAUGAAGACGAUACCACAGUCAUAAUCAUCGUCUGCUGUCUUAUUUUUGCCACUAUUCUCUUUCUUUUGUUAUUGGCGGAUAAAGAGAAGACAGAAACUCGAAGGAGCUAUGAGAGGAGAGAUCAACCUAACGCCAACACGCCUGGUUGUUCAGUUAUGUGACUUGAACUCAUGCAUUGACUAUUCAAAAUAAUUUGCCUAAUGUGCUGCUGUCUAGCUAGCUAGAUAUAGUGUUGCUGUAGACAGUGCACUGAAGUGUGUGUAUUUCUAAACCUGAAUUAAUCUCUAGGUCCCAGCUCUAGAAACACAGUACGUAGCCUAGGGCUCAU